rnacentral:misc_RNA from 1 species
AACGCACAUUGCGCCCUCUGGUAUUCCGGAGGGCAUGCCUGUUUGAGUGUCAUUAAUCUCUCACAAGACCAUUUGGUGUCAAAACCGCCUGGUCUCUGUUGAAGUUGGGACGUGCGAUCCUCAGGGAUCGCUGUCCUCAAAUGGAUUGGUGCGGCCCGCCGCCCGGUUACACAACGUUCUAGGUUCGUCCAACUCGUUGCUCUCCGGUGCAUUCAAGGCGCCGCACCUAAAGCCCGCCUCGUGCCCCGUGCUCUUGGCAUCUUCAUUUAUUGACCUCAGAUCAGGUAGGAAUACGCGCUGAACUUAA